AUACGGAGGGAGCUAGCGUUGUUCGGAAUUACUGGGCGUAAAGCGCGCGUAGGCGGACUGGUCAGUUGGGGGUGAAAUCCCAGGGCUUAACCCUGGAACUGCCUUCAAUACUGCCAGUCUUGAGAUCGGGAGAGGUGAGCGGAAUUCCUAGUGUAGAGGUGAAAUUCGUAGAUAUUAGGAAGAACACCAGUGGCGAAGGCGGCUCACUGGCCCGAUACUGACGCUGAGGCGCGAAAGCGUGGGGAGCAAACAGGAUUAGAAACCCGAGUAGUCC
rnacentral:rRNA from 1 species